rnacentral:lncRNA from 1 species
UUACAAAAUUUUUAUAGGGAUUAAAAUGUAAAAAGUAACAAAAUAUAAUGGGGGACAAUUUGAAGAUUAUAAAAAUGUAAUAGGGGUAAAAGUUUGGGAAAUGGAAACUCGAUUUUUAAGCCCCCACGCGAAUUAAGUUCUCAUUUCAUAAUCUCAAAAAUAAAUUAGUCCCACAUGUUUCAUUCCGAUCGCCUCUAUGUUAAUAAAUAAAUAUCAUCAAUUAUUCUCAUCUCAAAUUCUGAUUCUCUAAUCUUAAAACUAACCACACCCUAAAUGGGAAACAAAUGUGUCAAGCUUUAUACAUAAAAUACUGCCGAAAACCCCUUUAACAAUUCUCACUUGUCACCUUCCUUUCUAAUUUUGAUUUUUGAGGAAACGAAUUCUCACUAGUUGCAUUGCGCAAAAUUUUCACAAUUUUUAUAGCAAAUUUUUCUUCCCAAUCUAAUUGUAAUAGAAUGUGUUGCAAUAAUUUUGUCCAUUAUAGCUACAAAAGCAACACCAGUGGAAUUUAGGGCUACAUUCCUCAUCAACGCUGCAUAGAAUCGUAGACUACUCCUCCAUCUUAUCGUUACCUAAAUCAAGAAGAUUCUAACAAAUUUUUAUUUGUUAUAUUAAUAAUUUUUUUUUCCUCUCAAACUAACAUGGUUGUAGGAAUUAGGCGGGACUCCUAACUUAAUCUAAUAAGUUGUAAUAUAAUAAUUUUGAUUAUCAUUGUUGUGCAAAUCAACGAUAUUCUAGAAAAAUUUCUAAUUGUAAUCAAUAAGUUACAGUGUAAUUAAUAUUUUGAGCUACCCACAUUGCCGGCAGAUCAAUGGGUUAUUAUUGAUUCUAAAUUUUAAUAUUUCGAUAUCCAAAGGAUAUUAAGUAUGAGAGUGGGACAUUUGUGCCACUUUCUUGCCACAAUUACAGAGUGUUUAUCACCAAAUGAAUUGGUGUCGAGGAUGGCUUAUUUCUAAUUUAAAAAAGAAAAAAAAAAGAUGAUUUACUUUUUAGAAAAAAAUUGAAGACUAAUUUUUGAAUCAAGAAUUACUUAAAAACGAAAAAAGUAUGGGAAAUUUAUACUACUGACCCAACGUUUUAAUUUUUCUAUCAUAAGUAGUCAAACAUAAGUUUUUUGCCCCAAAUUACCCUCUUAUUUCAAUCCAAACUCCUCUCCCUUUUCACCAAACCGUAAGCAGCUUUUCUCUCUUUAAUCAUGGCGGACGGCGACGGCGACAGAAAAACUAAUUUUGACCAAAUACACCCGAACCCGUAUCCAGCAUCAAUUCGACACGAUUCUAACAAAUUGAAUUAGAGUCCAAAACCUUUGUAAGCUAAUUGAAAGGAAUUUGGUUUUGUAGAACUGUUGCACAUUAGGUAUUUGAUGAAAUGUUUCUUAGAUUAUUUAUCCUUUGUUAUUGUAUAACCAAAUGUUAAGAGGCAGUUUUGGUGCAAUUGUCUUUUGGUGCGACAGGCAGUCAGUCGCACAAAAUUGGUGCAACAUGGUGCAUGUCUCACCCGAUCUGUGUGUGAUGGGUGCCGGGGCCAGCAACCCAUCGCAUAAAUUUUGUGAAGAUCGCACCAAAUUCGUGUGAUGGACAUAUUGUCACCCACACCAACAACCUCAACCACACACCACCAACAUCACAAACACUUCAAUUCUCCAUCACCAUCACUAACCCAACACAAUAACAACAACAUAAAACAAGAACACACAAUAGAACAUGUAAUAAAACCUAUAGUUUUUGAACUAACCAUUGAUUUUAGAUCUUGGUAGCGAUUUUGGUGAUGUUGGCCGCGGAGGAUGGACUCCGAUGUACUGUGGGAAGUCGCCGAUGAUGAGUGGCCGAUUUGGGUGAGAGGCUGAGAGAGAUCGUUCCGUUAGAGAGAGAAAGCUUGGCGAGAAUGACAGGGAUAUUUUCGUCACUUGAUGCGUUUUUUGCCUAAUAUUGAUAGAAAUAAAUUUUAGGGAUUAAUUGGGAAAAAUACAAAUUUUUUGUGAUCAAUUUUAUAAAUUUCCCAAAAGGUACACACUCCAAUACAUGAUAAAAUAAGAUGUAAAAAAUUUAUUUUUUAAUUUUUUAAUUUAUUUUUACUUUAAUAAACUAAGAGAUUUUUAUUAGAUAAUAACUUUGAACAUAAAUAUCCAUAACUUAGAUAGGGUUUUUUUUUUUUUUUUUUAUGGGAGCAGGUAAAUGC